rnacentral:misc_RNA from 1 species
GGAGGAUUAAGUGAUACUAAAGUCGACCCAAUAGACAAUAAGCCGCAUCUUAAAAGAAAAACCCUAGAAAAACCCUAGAAUUGGAAGAAAUAUACCGAGAAUCCAUAGAAUUUAAGAGGAUCACAACACAAAGUAUGCUAAUUUAGGCAGAGAAAGAAAAGAUCGGAAAGCAGGGUGAUGGGUACUCGAGAGGGCAAACAAAUCAGAAUUAAAAGCAAAGAAAAGAAAGGGAAGGGGGAAAAAAGAAAAGAAAAGAAAAACCCUAGAAUUGAGGUGGGAUGGGCCAAGAGAGGAGCAAGGUCGGUGAUGGAAUUGGAUGGCACAUAGAAGGAAAGAGCAGGAGGUGGGCUUGGGUUAGUAUGGGAAAAAGGUUGGUCAAGAAAGAGAAUCUAAGAGCAGUGAUUAUGCUAAAAUAGCAAUAACUGUAUUAACAGUAAUUGGGUGGUUUUAUCCAUUGAUGUUAUUGCUGUAAUACUAAUAGCUGAUGCUGAUAAUGACGAUGAUGAAGAGAGGUGAGAGAAGAGGGUGAUGGGAAACAAUGAGAAGGGGAAGUCAU